UACGAAGGGGGCUAGCGUUGCUCGGAAUUACUGGGCGUAAAGCGCACAUAGGCGGCUUUCUAAGUCGGGGGUGAAAUCCUGGGAGCUCAACUCCAGAACUGCCUCGAUACUGGAAAGCUCGAGUCCGGGAGAGGUGAGUGGAACUGCGAGUGUAGAGGUGAAAUUCGUAGAUAUUCGGAAGAACACCAGUGGCGAAGGCGGCUCACUGGACUGGUAUUGACGCUGAGGUGCGAAAGGCGUGGGGAGCAAACAGG
rnacentral:rRNA from 1 species